rnacentral:rRNA from 1 species
ACUCCUACGGGAGGCAGCAGUGGGGAAUAUUGCACAAUGGGCGCAAGCCUGAUGCAGCGACGCCGCGUGAGGGAUGACGGCCUUCGGGUUGUAAACCUCUUUCAGUAGGGAAGAAGCGAAAGUGACGGUACCUGCAGAAGAAGCACCGGCUAACUACGUGCCAGCAGCCGCGGUAAUACGUAGGGUGCGAGCGUUAUCCGGAAUUAUUGGGCGUAAAGAGCUCGUAGGCGGUUUGUCGCGUCUGUCGUGAAAGUCCGGGGCUUAACCCCGGAUCUGCGGUGGGUACGGGCAGACUAGAGUGCAGUAGGGGAGACUGGAAUUCCUGGUGUAGCGGUGGAAUGCGCAGAUAUCAGGAGGAACACCGAUGGCGAAGGCAGGUCUCUGGGCUGUAACUGACGCUGAGGAGCGAAAGCAUGGGGAGCGAACAGGAUUAGAUACCCUGGUAGUCCAUGCCGUAAACGUUGGGCACUAGGUGUGGGGACCAUUCCACGGUUUCCGCGCCGCAGCUAACGCAUUAAGUGCCCCGCCUGGGGAGUACGGCCGCAAGGCUAAAACUCAAAGGAAUUGACGGGGGCCCGCACAAGCGGCGGAGCAUGCGGGAUUAAUUCGAUGCAACGCGAAGAACCUUACCAAGGCUUGACAUGUUCUCGAUCGCCGUAGAGAUACGGUUUCCCCUUUGGGGCGGGGUUCACAGGUGGUGCAUGGUU